rnacentral:lncRNA from 1 species
UCUAUAUCCAGCAUCAUGAACCGCCGUUUACGAUUCCGAUCACCUCCUUCGAUCUCAUUCAUUUAUUUUCCAAUCGGCGGAGCUGCGGCUCUAUUCUCUAUAAAAUCGUCAUCCUUUAUCCGAUCCGCCACUCGCGGUUUUCUAAUUCGUAAGGUGAGUUUAGUUCACUCUAUAGCUCUAGAUCUUUCCUCUUCGAUUCGUAUAAGCAAUUUUUUUCGUAUUUGUAUUAUGUAUAUUGUAUUUGAGAUUUUGUGUUUGGUUUUUUUAGGGUUAAUAUGGAGCCUAUGGACAUCGUUGGUAAAAAUAAGGAGGAUGCUUCGCUUCCAAAAGGUUACUUUCUUCUCUUCUCCCUAAAUUCCAUGUUCUAUUUUGUUUUUGCAUCUUUGCGCCUCGAUUAAGCUAC